UACGUAGGCAGCAAGCGUUGUUCGGAGUUACUGGGCGUAAAGGGUGCGUAGGCGGCUUUUUAAGUUUGGUGUGAAAUCUCCCGGCUCAACUGGGAGGGUGCGCCGAUUACUGAGAGGCUAGAGUGUGGGAGAGGAAAGUGGAAUUCCUGGUGUAGCGGUGAAAUGCGUAGAUAUCAGGAGGAACACCUGUGGUGUAAACGGCUUUCUGGACCAUAACUGACGCUGAGGCACGAAAGCGUGGGUAGCAAACAGG
rnacentral:rRNA from 1 species